AGCUGCCGGCCGGGUUAAACUACAACACAAUACCAAAGCAAGAAACAGAAAGCUGGACCAGUGCUGGUGGGAAGCUGGUACUGCUGUGAUGAGCUGGCUUGUGUGGAAGUGCUUCCUACACACGUGAUGGCAGCUUGGAGGAUCUGCCACAUGCUGUCUCCAGAUGAUGCUGUUUGGAAGGGUUGGCUCAGAGCAGCAAACUUUGUUCUUGCACCUGGAUGCGUGCACUGAUUGACAGAAAGGAGGAAGGCUGGCAGCACAGAUUUGGCAGCUCAAUAAACAAAGCUUGUGUUCUGCAAAUAACAGCAAGUGGAUGCCCUCAUUCAUGAGGCAAGUUCAAGCGUGGCUGCUGUGGAGAGUGCGGCUGCUGAUCAAUUUUGUGACAUGAAGGAUGGUGGUGUCAUGACCUGGCAGGAACAGACAGUGACCACAGGAGAUGGAAGAGGAGUGGAUCCAGAUGAGGAAAUAA